rnacentral:misc_RNA from 1 species
GAUGAAGAACGUAGCGAAAUGCGAUAAGUAAUGCGAAUUGCAGAAUUUCCGUGAGUCAUCGAAUCUUUGAACGCACAUUGCGCCCAUUGGUAUUCCGAUGGGCAUGCCUGUUCGAGCGUCAUUAUCUUCCCUCAAACCUCGCGUUUGGUGUUGGGCCGUGCUGGUUCCUGCGUGACCAACUGGCCUCAAAGACAAUGACGGCGUCCGUGGGACCCUCGAUGCAACGAGCUUCUCAGGAGCACGCGUCGAGUUUCAAGGACCUUCCGGGCCGGUCUCUCCUAAUGUUAUUACAAGGUUGACCUCGGAUCAGGUAGGGAUACCCGCUGAACUUAAGCAUAUCAACAAGCGGAGGA